rnacentral:rRNA from 1 species
CCUACGGGGGGCGGCAGUGAGGAAUAUUGGACAAUGGAUGGAAAUCUGAUCCAGCCAUGCCGCGUGAAGGAAGAAGGUCCUAUGGAUUGUAAACUUCUUUUGUAUGGGAGCAAUAAGGCCUACGAGUAGGUUGAUGAGAGUACCAUACGAAUAAGCACCGGCUAACUCCGUGCCAGCAGCCCCGGUC